rnacentral:lncRNA from 13 species
CCAGAAACUUCUAACACUAAUAGCUUUGUUCUUUUUCCCUCAUGCAUCUGUACCAGAUAUUAUUGCCCACAAGACUGAGCAGUGUUUCUGUGUACAUUUAAGAAUUAAACACUAAAAUUCUACUAAAUCAUAAUGCCAACAUAAAACGUCUGCUGCAAUCACGACCAUCAGAUAAUUAUUCUUUAUAUUCCAUUAACACUAAGGAGGGAGAUCAACUACAACUGGUAUGUAGAAAUGUUUAUUCUUACACAUUUUUAAAAAGAAUUAAUUUACAAGUUUUUUAAAAAAGUUAACUGCUUAAAUUGUGUAACAAUUGCAGGCUUACUACACCAUUUCUAGGUAACACGGCUUUAUCAGUUUUAACCUAAGGUUGUAAAUAUAUAAUAUAAACAUGUAAGUGUGUUUGUAUGUAUGUCUGCUCAGUUGACGAAAAAUAAAAAAGCAACGAACAAAAAUAAAAUCACUUGACCAUGUCUGUAUAAAGCAGCAAUGUCAACUGAACAUCAGGCUAAAUUCAAGCAACCAGAAGACAGACUGUCACAUAGGAUAUGUGUUAUUUGUGUCUAGAGAGGAGUAUGUUCCCUUCAAAUCUCUUUGGGAUAACAACUUCAGUCAUCCCUAGAAAAUAGAGAUUUCACAACACCAAAACUCCGGCUGCCAGAUUGUGUGACGUGGAGGCAGCCAGAUGUACUAGAGAGGAGCAUGCCAACUGCAUGGUGCACUCCUGCCCAUCCCUCCAUGACAACAUAAUGGAUUCCUUAACAACAAACCCUCUUUCUGAGGAGGGCAUGAUUGUGCUCAGCAUAGAACAAACUGAAGUCUACUGUCCAGAAUUACAUCCACAGAAUAUCCCCGGUUCCUCCAACGUAGAAGGGCCUCUUUGUUUCUUUUCUAGAGCUCAAUCUUUUAAUCCCAUGUCUGUUACUUUUCACCAAAAGGCAACUGAGAAGGAUAGCAGGGAAGCAGAGGGGGAAGAAAACACUGUAAUAAAGUCAAAAUCCUUGAUGAAGAGCCAGUAUCGCUGUGAAGCCAUCAGCUCUGCUAAUAAGGGAUGAGCAUGGCAGUCCAUUCUAUCAACAACAAGCCACUUAAAUUAAACCACUCAUUUCCAUCUGAGGCCACCCUCAUCCAUGUAGGUAUAUUCAGCUUUCUCUCUCAGCCAGGGAUUCAGACUCCAACCUGCAAGUCACUUGCACUGAUUUUGCCUUGUUUGCCAGUUUACAUGUAACUUUGGCCCUGGACUUCCAGUAAUGACAACAACACUAUGCUUUGGUGCUAUCCAGUUUAGGUGGGAACACUUUUGUCUCUAAGACUCAUUGUAAGGAGUGUGUAGCCCAGUCACUUGGUGCCAUGAUAUCCACUGGAUAUCAGCCUUUUCUUUCUCCCGUUAUUCCCUGCAAGCAAUGAAAAAAAUAUAUGUGCAUUAUCUCCUACUGUUCUUCCCUAAAAUUCCAGGUGAAAUAUGAAAUACUUUUUGGUUUUUUUCCAAAUUAGAUUUGUGGACCCUGCUCAAGCUUCAAAUCUAAUUUUAAUUUGGUCUAAUUUUUAUUUUCUAGCUUACAUUAAGCAUUAUAUGUCUGAGAUAUGAUUUUUUAACUAAU